rnacentral:rRNA from 1 species
UGCCAGCCGCCGCGGUAAUACGGGAGAUGCAAGCGUUAUUCGGAUUUAUUGGGCGUAAAGGGUCUGUAGGUUGUUGGUUAAGUCUAUGGUCAAAUUCCGAAGCUCAACUUCGGGCCGGCACUAGAAACUAAUCAACUUGAGUACGUUAGAGGCAGGGGGAAUUCCCAGUGUAGCGGUGAAAUGCGUAGAUAUUGGGAGGAACAUCAAUGGCGAAGGCACCCUGCUAGGCCGAUACUGACACUGGAAGACGAAAGCAUGGGCAGCGAAGAGGAUUAGAUA